GGUUAAGCGACUAAGCGUACACGGUGGAUGCCCUGGCAGUCAGAGGCGAUGAAGGACGUGCUAAUCUGCGAUAAGCGCCGGUAAGGUGAUAUGAACCGUUAUAACCGGCGAUUUCCGAAUGGGGAAACCCAGUGUGACUCGUCACACUAUCAUUAACUGAAUCCAUAGGUUAAUGAGGCGAACCGGGGGAACUGAAACAUCUAAGUACCCCGAGGAAAAGAAAUCAACCGAGAUUCCCCCAGUAGCGGCGAGCGAACGGGGAGGAGCCCAGAGCCUGAAUCAGCAUGUGUGUUAGUGGAAGCGUCUGGAAAGGCGCGCGAUACAGGGUGACAGCCCCGUACACAAAAGCGCAUGUGCUGUGAGCUCGAUGAGUAGGGCGGGACACGUGGUAUCCUGUCUGAAUAUGGGGGGACCAUCCUCCAAGGCUAAAUACUCCUGACUGACCGAUAGUGAACCAGUACCGUGAGGGAAAGGCGAAAAGAACCCCGGCGAGGGGAGUGAAAAAGAACCUGAAACCGUGUACGUACAAGCAGUGGGAGCCCCACCACUAAGCCAGUGGUGAACUCCACAUACGCAUCCUUUGCUGAGGAUACGGUUAACGGAGCGAAAGCGACGUUCAACCUCAAAAGAAGCAGAGGGGGCUUAGUGGUGGGGUGACUGCGUACCUUUUGUAUAAUGGGUCAGCGACUUAUAUUCUGUAGCAAGGUUAACCGAAUAGGGGAGCCGGAGGGAAACCGAGUCUUAAUUGGGCGUUAAGUUGCAGGGUAUAGACCCGAAACCCGGUGAUCUAGCCAUGGGCAGGUUGAAGGUUGGGUAACACUAACUGGAGGACCGAACCGACUAAUGUUGAAAAAUUAGCGGAUGACCUGUGGCUGGGGGUGAAAGGCCAAUCAAACCGGGAGAUAGCUGGUUCUCCCCGAAAGCUAUUUAGGUAGCGCCUCGUGAAUUCAUCUCCGGGGGUAGAGCACUGUUUCGGCUAGGGGGCCAUCCCGGCUUACCAACCCGAUGCAAACUGCGAAUACCGGAGAAUGUUAUCACGGGAGACACACGGCGGGUGCUAACGUCCGUCGUGAAGAGGGAAACAACCCAGACCGCCAGCUAAGGUCCCAAAGUCAUGGUUAAGUGGGAAACGAUGUGGGAAGGCCCAGACAGCCAGGAUGUUGGCUUAGAAGCAGCCAUCAUUUAAAGAAAGCGUAAUAGCUCACUGGUCGAGUCGGCCUGCGCGGAAGAUGUAACGGGGCUAAACCAUGCACCGAAGCUGCGGCAGCGACGCUUAUGCGUUGUUGGGUAGGGGAGCGUUCUGUAAGCCUGUGAAGGUGUGUCGUGAGGCAUGCUGG
rnacentral:rRNA from 1 species